UUCCUGUUUCUCUUUAUUGUGUGGAUGCCCUAAAGGGCUUCCACACAAUUGUUUUCCUGUUUCUCUUUAUUCUUUAUUAUUCUUGGGGUUUCCGUACACUUUUUGCCGCUUAACUACUGCCUCAGUUUUCAGCCGAUUUUCUCAGUUCAAACUUUAAAAAAUUCUGCUCUUUCUGCUAAUGUGUGCUAUGACUUUUGGUGCUCAUAACUUCUAUACUUUUUGAGAUAUUGAAUUUUUUUUGCAAUAUUUUUUGCCCAUUUUUGCACAUUAUCAGUGGGGUCACUAGUUUUCCUUGCCCGGUUGAGCCGUGUUUUAGCUCAGUGAGAUGAGCAGCCGUUCUCAGACUGGGAGGCCCGGGUUCAAAUCCCGCUUAUGGCAACAUUUCUUUCAGUUAACAGUUAAACCUUUUUAACUCUUUUCAACACAAAUUUCAGCUUUUCCACCCCUUUUCAGCAAAAUUUUCAGGUUUUUCACCACUUUUCAGCACAAAUCCCAGCUUUUUCAGCUGUUUUCAGCAAAAAAAACUCUUUUCAGCAGAAUUCUGAAAAGAGUUCUGCAGAACUCUUUUCAGCAGAAAUUCUGCUGAUUGAACUCUUUUCAGCAGAAAUUUCAGAAUUUUAACCUCUUUUCAGCCCAAAUUCUGCUUAUUCACCUCUUCUGCAAAAUUUUCAGCCUUUUCACCUCUUAUCAGCAUAAAUCUCAGCAGUUUUCAGAAAAAAACUCUUUUGAGUAGAAAUUCUGCUGAUUCAUCUCUUUUCAGCGCAACUUGUUGCUUCUUUACCUCUUUUCUGCAGAAAUUCUGCUGAUUCACCUCUUUUCUGCAAAAUUUUCAGCCUUUUCUCCUUUUAUCAGCACAAUUCUCAGCAGCUUCUGCUCAUUUCAGCAGAGUUGUCCGUCUCUCCACCUCUUCUUGGUCAGAGUGAGUUUAGCUCAGUGAGAUGAGCAGCUGCCUUCAGACCAGAAGGGCCAGGUUCAAAUCCCGGUCAUGGCAAAACCUGUUUUCAGUUUUCUCUUUUGUUCUGCCUCUUUUCUGCAGAAACUCUGCUGAUUCAUCUCUUUUCAGCGCAAGUUUCUGCUCCUUUGCCUCUUUUCUGCAGAAAUUCUGCUGA
rnacentral:lncRNA from 1 species